UAUUCUGCAAUGUAAAGGAAAUCAUCAUUCAUGUCACCGUCCUAUGUAAUGCUUGUGUAGAAGCAUCUUAUUUCAAUCCCACUUAAGAGACUUGGUUAGGGAGCGAUACUAUCUUAAAGUUGCUGCUCAAUUUUUAGCCACCCCUAUCUCAAGGUAUGCACAAGUCUUUAAUGCACAACAGCAAGAUCAGAGUAACUGCAGGAAAGUACCAAGGCAAAAGUGUCCAAGUGUGGUA